CUGCUGGGACGACGCUCAGAUUCCAGAGUGGAGGCAGGGCCUGGAAGUUGGCAUUUUUCAGACUGCCUCAGUGAUUGUUCUACAGACUGGCUUUGAGGACCCCUGCCCUCGGCUGCCUUAACAAUGAGGAUCCAGGGACAGGUGGUGAGUUAAUAAUAUUAGCCGCUUUAUCCCAGGUCGCAUGGUCCUUUUUAACAGAAGCUCUGACCUUGACUCUAAGGAGGGAGUGCUGGUUUGUCAUGGCCCAGGCCAGGCAGAGAGCCCUCUUUUGGUCAAAGGGGUCUUGAGCCCCCAUGAGGCUCACUGUGAAUUUAUUUCUGGGCCUGAGCCAGUGCUGAGGGAGAAGGGUCAGGUGGGUUGGUUCCAGAGCCCCAAGUUUCCUAGGGUAGGAAGUGGGUUGGGACUCCCCGGAUUGCUGACCCCGUGUCGUGCCAGCCACUCUCUCCCUCUCUUCUGAGUGGGGUCUGCUCACCAACAGAUCCCUUUUCUUCUACAAGCCCUUAUUUUGCACCCUUGUUCGGUCUCUGCCACGUGUGACAAAGGGAUGGCCAAAGCCUGGGGGGCUGGUGGGGGGACCCGCCCUUGGGUGCUCAGUGCCAGGGCACAUCCUAUUUGUCUUACCUUCUCUGUACCCGGUCAGGGCUUGGCAGGCACUGUGUGCUAGAAAAAAAAAUGUAUAUAAAUAAUAUAUAUUAUUUUAUAAUAUAUAUAAAUUAUAUAUAUAUUCUAUAUACAUAUAUGUAAAUAUACACGUAGUAUAUAUGUGUAUAUAUAAAACUUCAGGCCCCCUCAAGUCCAGGGGUUUGUGUCUGAAGGGCCAAAUAGUGCAACCUUUUAUUCCAAUCCAGCGAAUGAACCCCUUCCGCUGUGCAGUAAUAAUAAUAAUAAUAAUAAUAGUGAGUUAUCCACUCAACAUCCUCUCCCCUCUCCGCUCCCUCCUCGGGUUCCCGUUAGAAUCCUCAAGGAAGAACCUAAGAUCCAGACAAGGAGCAAGUGUCCUCCUCAUGGCUAGUUGUCCCAGCAGAGCGGCCUCUGCCUGCUCAACUCUUUUCACCUCAUCUUUCCACGGAACGUGCCGCGCACGUCCCUCCAACGAGCCUGGCAGAAGCCGCUCACUCGUGCGGUGCCCCACAGUGCUCUCCCUGGGCCCCUCUCCUCCUGGGCGCGGUCCCGAGGACAGAGAGCCGGGCUGACGCUGUGGUGUCUUGUCUAGUGACACCGGGCAGCCUGCGACCUGGGCUGGGCAGCGGGCGGGCCCGCCCCACCCGCCCAGCCAGCUGGCUGGCUGCCUGAGGGCUGGCCAGCAGUGAGGACCCAAGUAAUGAGUGAUUAAUGGGCGCCCCAUCUAAUCUCCUGCCAGGGGAAAUGAAGGGCCAGCCGUGGGCUGGGGCUCGUCGUGACCUGCUCCAGGUGGGCUUGGAAUGCACCCAGCUCAGGAUGGGGAUUAAGGCUUGAAAGACAGAGGAAAUGAGAUGUUAACCCUUUAGGCCAUGGCCCUCUGAGCCCCAGCGGGGAAAUCGCUAGGGAAUUAUCUGCAGGCACCUGAUGAAAGGGGAGCACGGCCUUUGAUUUAUGGCGGGGAUGCAGCCGCAAGACUACCAGGGGGGUGGGGGGCGGGGUGACAAGCCACGCCUUUGACUUAACCAUUUUUCUUGGAGGCUCAGUCAAGAGAGAUUACUUUCUUGCGAACAUGGAUACGUGGACAGCCGGGAGGCCGCUCUACCUGAUUCCUUCUUGGAAACCUUCCGAUCGUAUCAGCGAGUUACAAAUUGGUAGUUGCCAGACAGACCUUUCUUCCUGAAACGCAGUGCCUCGGGUCACAUGUCAUUUCAGGGCAGAGAGGAGGGGGUGUGGCCCCGGCUGGACCACAGCUCUAGUGGUAGGAUCCACCUUUUCCUGGAUCGGGCAGGAGCACAGUGGUGCUGAGGGUGGGCGCCCCCUGGAGCCGGCUCCCUGGGUUCAGGCGUUGGCGCCACUAAGCUGUGGGUUCCUGGACAGCUUCCUUUUGUGCUGUGGUUCUCCCGUCUGCGAAAUGAGGGUGAGAAUAAUACAGACCCUGGGUGAGAGUCACGAGAGUGUGAGGUGCUUACAGCAGCCUUAGACCUGUAGAAGUGCCAUCGUUUUUUUCUCACUUCUCUGGCUAAACCCCGGAGACCAGACCUUCUCCGGGAAGGGCGUAAGCAGCUACUCUGCAGGGUCUCUGAGAAUGGGUGAAUUGCUUUGGCUGAAUUGAUGACGGACCCUCUGAUUGAUCUCGCUUGUUUGACCCUUGACCCUCACAUGCCUUGAAUUCUGAUCCUCCUUUCCCCUCCCUUUGCUGUUGGCCCUCUGGCCUCCAGCUGCCCUUUGGAUUACACUGCCCUGCCCCUUGCCCCCUGCCUCCAUGCUCGGUGGCCGGAUGUGGUGCAUCAGGGCGGUGAUGCCUGCCUGGUCCGGUCAUGGCACGGCCACUUCCGCACCAGUUCUGCCCACGGCCAGCCUUGCCGUGACCUGACGGCUGAGGACGAAGAGGGCAGCUGCCUUGCGAGCAAAAUUAGGAACAGCGGAGACAGUCUGAUCUGGAUGCCGGUCACAGCGCUGUCCCCUUUUCUGGUUGCUCUCAGCUCCCAUUGCCUCAUCCUUGAUCGAGGCUAAUAAUAGUAACACUUAUCUAAUGGUUGAGAGAAGGUCAAACCCGACCGUGGACAGGAGGCCCUUUGGACUGUGGUGGGGAGUUUACUGCUGGUUACAAGGCGGGCCUUAAGCCUGAUAACGGGGCGUGCCCUGACAUCUAGCCCCUCGAGCCCGUUUGUACCUUUGUGAGAACAGACAAGUGCCCAGGGCCUGCUUGACUUCGCUGAUGUUUUAGCGAAGGCCCAGGUUUCAUUCUGCUUGAAGUUCCAGGGAUCUUCCGGCCAGCUAAAGAGAAGGAGCUGCCAUUUACAGAGCUCUGUAUCAGGUCCUGGGAUUUGCCUGCGUUGAUUUAUUUCAUUCUCUCAACGAUUCGUGUGAGCUAGACAUUAUCAUUCCUAUUCUACAGCCUGGAAAACCAAGGCACAGAGAGGUUAAGGAAUUUGCACCUGCUCGCACAGCAAGUAGGUGUCAGAGUGAUGUUUGAAUUUCCAGUCAUCUGACUCCAAAGCGUCAUGGGAACUCAUGGGCUGGUUAGUGCCUCAGUCUAAUCGUAACCCACUGGAAAGUCUGAUGGUAACCACUUAAAAGUCUAACUGUAACCCACUUAAAACCUUUUAAAAGUUGAGAUGUCGUUCACAUACCAUAAAAUUCACCAUUUUAAAGUAUACAAUUCAGUGGUUUUAGUGUAUUCACGGAGUUGUGCAAUCAUCACCCAUUAUAUAAUUCCAGAAUAUUUUCAUCACCUGCAAAAACUCCAUAUCCUUUCGAAAUCACUCCCCGUCCUUCCUCCCCAGCAACCCCUGGAAACCUCUCAUCUACUUUCUGUCUCCAUGGAUCCUGGACAUUUCAGAUAAAUGGAAUCCUACAAUAUGUGGUCUCCCGUGAUUCGCUUCUUUCACUAAGAUUAAUGUUUUCAUCCAUCUUGAAGCACAGAUCGGUGCUUCGUUCCUUUUUAUCACCACGUAACCCACUUUGAAAAUAAAAUAGAGGGCUCUUCUGCUUAGAAAAGGGGUGGAGCUGCCGUCCCAAAACAGAUGCAGCGCAAAGAAAGGGGCCCUCAGUCUUUACUGUGGGCAGACGUGAGAGGAGUCUAAAAGUAGGGGCAGGUGGAGCGAGCGCUCCUGCCGGGUGUGGAGGUAGAGGCAGAAGCAGGUGCGGGCCUGGCUGGGUUCCUGCGUCCGGGAGUAGCAGGGGUGCCCAGCUGCGCUCCUCCAGACACCCUGGUGUUCGUGCCAGCGGCGAGGUCUGUCGGGAUCCGUCCUGCAGAGGUGGUGUGGGUGCAGUGGGCCGACCCCCCGAGAGACGGGCAGGGGGGUUUGGGAGCGCUCUUUGCCAUACAUAGUCUGUCCAGUGUGGGUGCCGCAUGGACAUUUUAGUGGCUGCACAGUCUGCUGCGUCCCUUCUAACUUCAGGGGGACUGUGGUGGCAGGUGCUGCAUACUGGUGACAGCACCGCGGAUUUGCUUAAGUUUCUAGAUACAAGGCUUUUUUUUUUUCUGAUUACAAAGGGGAGAUACAUUUAUUGUAGAAAAGUUAGGAAAUGUGGAAAAACACAGAAAAAAAUAAAAAUUAUCCAUAAUUCCCCAGCCAGUGAUGACCAUUAUUUUUAACGUGUGUCUUUGUAGUCUGUCUUUCUGCACACACACCAUGCACACACACACACACACACACACACCACACACACACACACACACACACACACACCACACACACACCACACACACACACACACACAGACACACACAGUUUUAUAGAAUUGGUAUCUUGCUGAACAUCUUGUUUUGUUUGCGACUUUUUUCACUUAACAAUAAACCACAAACAUUUCCCCUAGGUACUGAAUAUUCAAUAUUCUUGCAAAACAUGGUUAUCUUAAUGGUGGCAGAAUAUUUUUAAAAACAUUAAUGUUUGGGGGCGCCUGGGUGGUUCAGCUGGUUAAGCGUCUGACUCUUGAUUCCGGCUCAGGUCAUGAUUUCAAGGUUUGUGAGAUAGAGCCCCGUGUCGCGCUCUGGGCUAACAGCAAGGAGCCUGCUUGGGAUUCUCUCUCUCCCUCUCUCUCUCUGCCUCUCUCCCCGACGUGUACACUCAUGCUGUCUCUUUUUCUCAAAAUAAGUAAAUAAAUAUUAAAAAAUAAUAGAAAAAAUCCUUAUUAAAAAACAUUAAUGUUUGCUUAUUUGGGGACAUGUUGCUUUCAGUUUUUCAAUAUUAUUUAUAAAUAAAACUGCUCUUGUGCAUUUUUUUUGUACUUUUGUUAAGGCAUAGUGCUGUUUUGGGGACAAAAGAUAUAAAUACUCCAGAGGUAUUUGAUACAUAUGGUCUGAUUGGCCUCCCAGAAAGACUGUAUAAUUUAUAAUUCCACAAAUGUGUUAUCUUUUAACUUGACUUUUACUGUACAUGUAACUUUACCAAAACAUCCCUUCCCCCCUCCUCUUCCUCCCUCUCCUCUUCCCCUCCCUGCCUCACAUCUGCAUAGUAUACUAACUGUUUACAGCAUUCUGUUUUCUGCUUGAUAUUUGCACAUCUGCCUUUUUAACAGAGUAUGAUUUUGUGUAAACAUUCCUCUUGACCUUGUCAGGCUUCCCAUUUUUAGGCAUAAAUGACAGUUUCCAUCAUUUUAGUUAAUGGUCUGGGUUUGUUCCUUGUUUUUCCCUAAUCAAAAAAUUAGGAGCGCCUGGGUGGCUUAGUCGGAUUAAGCAGCAGAGUUUUGAUUUUGGCUCAGGUCAUGAUCUCACAGUCCUGAGAUCUAGCCCCAUGUCGGGGCCCCAUGGAGCCUGCUUGGGAUUCUCUCUGUCCCUCUGCCCCUCUAUCCUACUCACAUUCUCUCUCUCUCUCUCUCUCUCUCUCUCUCUCUCUCUCUCAAAACAAACAAACAUUUAAAAAAGAUCUAGUAUUACCAACAUCAAUCACUGUUCAGUUUGCUGUUAUUUCCGCCCCCGCCCCUCCCCCCCCCCUCGCUUGUGAAAUGGACCAGGAAUCACUGUAGAUGCCACCGGAGUCAGGGGGGACGGUGUUUGUUCAGCCCUACAAUGAAACGAAAGGCCUCCCACGUGCCUUACUGAGUGCAGGAACAUCUGUCCAUCUUAAAGAUAAAGAAGAUGGUGUUCCUGCCUUGGGGGGUACUUACAGCCUGGGGAGAGGGGUCGGGCGGAGAGAAUGAUGGGUGUGAUAAGCAUUGUGCAGUAGGAAGGCUGGGGGCCCGGCCGAGGGGCAUCAGACUCCGAUUGGUGGGAAUUCAGAGACUUGCCGGUGCUCACACCUUAACGGGGAAACCGUGUAAACGGAAGGGAAGGAAAUAGGAGGCUGUUGGAUUUAAUGGCAGGGCUGCAUUCUUGAAGACCUCACAGGAUUCCCAUCUCUCAUAAUGGACCCUCUUUGCUCCCACAGAACAGAAUGUAAAGAGAGUGCCGGUGUGCUUGAGAAAUUCUCAGAAAGUGUAGUUUUGCUGUAGCGUCGCUUUUCGCGUGGUGGGUCGCGGUUAUCUCUAACGUUGUGCUCAGUGGGUUUGCUCGUAAAUUGCUCACUGAGUAUCUCAUGACGGUUUUUUGGCUCCCCCAAUAGCCUUGCUGGUGGUGGUGGUGGUUAAUCAUCAUCAUCCUCGUGUGUUUUUAAUCUGGCACCAACAUUCGACACAGUGCCUAGAUCAGGGGUCGGCAAACUCUUUUCCCUAAAGGGCCAGAGAGUUCAUAUUUCAGCCUUGCAGGCUAGAUGGUGAUUUGUUGCCGUGAAUCACCUCUGCCUUUUGAGCAAGAGGGCUGCGACAGACAAUAUAUAAACAAGCGGGCAAGUCUGUGUUCUAGGAAAACCUUUUUUUAUGGACACUGCAGUUUGAAUUUCAUAUCAUUUUUAUGUCAUAAAAUAGAAUCCUGCUAACUUUUUUCUUUUUUUUUCUUUUUUUAAACGUUUUAUUUAUUUUUGACAUAGGGAGAGACAGAGCAUGAACAGGGGAGGGGCAGAGAGAGAUGGAGACACAGAAUCUGAAACAGGCUCCAGGCUCUGAGCUGUCAGCACAGAGCCCGACACGGGGCUCGAAUUCACGGACCGCGAGAUCAUGACCUGAGCUGAAGUCGGACGCUAAACCGACUGAGCCAACCAGGCGCCCCUAAUUUUUUUCUUUUUUAAAAACUUAUUUAGGGGCGCCUGGGUGGCUCGGUCGGUUAAGCGUCUGACUUCACCUCAGGUCAUGAUCUCACGGUCCGUGAGUUCGAGCCCCGCGUCGGGCUCUGUGCUGACAGCUCAGAGCCUGGAGCCUGUUUCAGAUUCUGUGUCUCCAUCUCUCUCUGCCCCUCCCCUGUUCAUGCUCUGUCUCUGUCUCAAAAAUAAAAAAUAAAAAAUAAAAAAAAGUUAAAAAAAAUUAAAAAAAAAAAGAUAAAAAUUUAUUUAAAAAUAUGACAAAGCAGGCAGUGAGCAGGUUUGGCCUACUGGUCAGUUUGUUGACCCCUGGCCUAGGUGACUAUAAUAUUUGAAAAUUGUUUUAAAUUAUAAAAAGUGAAUGUUAAAAUAUCCCAAUAGUUAACAAAAUCACUCCUAGAAGCUUGAGUGUUCAUAAGAGUGUAGAGCUUAAUUCACGAGUUCUAGCAAAAGACUGUGGGUGUUUACCAUCUUGGGUGAUAUCAACAUAGCAAUUACUUCAACACAAUUUGUAAUUCUUUUUUUUUUCUAAUUUUUUAAUGUUUAUUUAUUUUUGAGAGAGAGACAGAACGCGAGCAGGGGAAGAGCAGAGAAAGGGAGACACAGAAUCCAAAGCAGCCUCCAGGCGCUGAGCUGUCAGCACAGAGCCCGAUGUGGGGCUCGAACUCAUGGACUGAGAGAUCAUGACCCGAGCCAAAGUCAGACGAUUAACUGACUGAGCCACCAAGCCGCCCCUAUAAUUCUUGAAGUAGUUAUUCUGAAUUAAAAAAUUUUAAUCAUACUCUUUCAAAAUUUAGGCAUCAAAUGACUUUAUUAAUAUUGUUUUAUCAUUCUAUUUUAUGAUUCCAGUUGUGGACCAUGAAAUUGUUUAUUAUUGUACGGUGUUGUGGAGUCUAGCAAUUCUGCCUGACUCUCAACAGCCUGAUGACCUAUGGUAGGGGCUUUGGAACUUGAUUUUGGCUGGAAUUUUUACUGUAGAAGCCAGGGGAAGGCAUGGAAGGAGCACCAAGGCGUAUGUCUGGCACAUGGUGAAUGUGGAAUAAACUUUUGUUCCCUCGCUUCCUUUUCUUUUCCUCCCCACCCAAACUUUCUGUGUGUUUGGUCAGCUCCAAAACAUGCUGAGCCUCUUUGAAAUUGUUACUUUGGUUCUUUCCACAUGCAGUAAAGUCACUAACUUUUUUCAAUGGAAACAAAAACAAAGGCUGUUAGAAAGCAGUUUCCCCUCCCGGGUCACCGGCUUUCCCUUGCAGAAGAAUAAGCAGUGCUCUGCUGAGAUCGCCGGCCGGGGCCAGACCAGAGGCCCCAGGUCCAAGGAAGGCGCCUCCAGCUGGGUGCAGACCCAGCUCUCCAGCCAGGAGGGGGGACGCCUGGCCUGCUGGCCGCUCCGAGCCGUGCAGCUCCUGGGUGUAUCUUGGUUUCAAGGAUUCCAACGGUAGGAAAGCCAGGGUCCUCUCCAGAUGGAAGACCACCAGCCCCGAAGGUGACCGUGAUGCUGUAGCUCUUGGCUCGCGAGUGUGCUCUUGCUGUGUGUGUUGGACGGAAGGCCUGUCUUGAGUAGACGUGUGUUUGUGUUGUUUAGAGGAUAAUGGCGCAUAACCACGUGUGCUUUCUGGCCUGGGGUCCGGCAGGAUGUAAGAGGAGGCAGCCGCUAUCCCUUGGCCAGGGAGACUUUUCAUUAUUACGUUGGCUGGGGGCUGGUGUUCCUCCUGUGCUUUAGGAGCUCUUUGGUUUAUGUACAAGUGAUCUUGGAGCCAAGGGCACGGGUGUUGAGUCCCGACUUUGCAUGAACUUGCCAUAGAACCUCCAGCAACACAUUCUCCCACACUCUCUGGGGUUACGAAUUCUUCGUUCCUAAGUGAAUGGUGACAACCUAGACCAUUUCUGGGGGCUCUUUUCUCAGUUGAGAUAUGUGGGGAGCCCAGACUUUCACUCCCACCCAGCAUCAAUAAGGCAUCCUUCCCCCUCCCCACUGGGGUGGUCAGAGGAGGCCUAGUGGAGAGUCCAGACUCUUACCACCGCCUGGCAGUAAUGAGGCCAUUCAUCCCCUUUCCCUUCCUGCCAAUGGUGCAAAUGGAGGCCAGAUGAGGCACGGUAGUGAGGCAUCCCUAACCUCCCCAGCCAGAGAAGUAUCUAUGGGACCUGCUGGAGAGCUCAGCAGUUAUGAUGCUCCCCCUUCCCUUCCAAAGUCAGUGGAGGCCAAGUGGCCAAUUUGGGUUUCCCUCUCACCCCUGGCCAUCAUGAGGUGGGGUCCUCCUUCCCUUGCUGAAGCCAUAUGAAAGGCAGCCAGCAAAAAUGGAAGGUUUAAGUAAGAUCCAGAGCCUCAUAACACGAUGCCUAAAAUAUCCAGGAUGUGAUUGGACAUUACUCAUUGUAUCAAGAACCAGGAAGAUCUCCAGCUGAAUGAAAAAAGACAGUCAGCUGAUGCCAACACCGAGAUGAUGGAGAUGUGAGAUUUAUCUGACAAGGCUUUUAAAACAGCCAUCAUAAAAUGCUUCCGCGAGCAGUGCUGAACGUGCUCGAGACAAAUGAGAAGAAAAUAGAAAGUUUCAGAAAAGAAAUAGAAGACCUAAAGAAGAACCAAAUGAAAGUUUUCUUUAAAAAAAAAUGUUUGUUUGUUUGUUUAUUGAGAAGGGGGAAGGGGGCAGAGAGAGAAGGAGAGAGAGAAUCUCAAGCAGGCUCCACGCUGUCAGCCCAGAGACUGACGUGGGGCUCGAACUCACACACCAUGAGAUCAUGACCUGAGCCCAAACCAAGAGUUGGAUGCUUAACUGACAGACCGUCCAGCGUCCUCAAAAUGAAAAGUCUUCAAAUUUAAAAAUAUAACAAUUGAAAUAAAAUCUCACGAGGAUGGGCUGAACCACAGAACAGAGAUGACAGAGGACAGAAUCCGCGAACUUGAAGAUGUAACAAUAAAAAUUACCUGAUCUGAACAACAGAGAGAAAACAGACUGGGGGAGGGAAAAAAACAAGGUGAGAUCAUCAGGGAUCUAUAGGACUAUAAUAAUGUCUUUGAAAUCUUAAGAUGGAAGAAAGAAGGUAGGACUGAAAAAUACUCAAGGAACUAGAACUUCCUGAGGUUAGGCUAAGGUACAAACCCACAGAAUCAGGAAGCACUAGUGAAUUCCCAACAGGAUAAACCCAAAGAAGUCUGUACCACAGUACGUCAUAGUCAAACCUCCGAAAAUAAUCGGCAAAAAGGAAAAAUGAAGGAGGAAUUGGUCUGCUGGGUUUCGAGACCUCUAUAGCUGUAGGAAUCCAGUCCGUGUAGCGGGAUAGGCACACAAGUCAGUGGCCCAGAAGAGAGAACCCAGAAACACGCCCAUCCGAUUUUUGACAAAGGUACACAGGGACAUGGGAGAAACGCCAACUGGAAUGAUUUCAUUGAUGAGCGAGGGGAGGCUGGUAGACGAUGGAAUGGAAAGGAAGUUUAUCUGAGGGAUAAUACAAACGAAAACUUGAAGGUUGGCAAGAGGCCAGGCCUAGGCCAUGCGGGAGGGGAAGUCACAGAAGCCCAGGUAAGCUUUGAGCUUUUAUUCAUGGGAAGGAUGGUGGUAUCACCACCCAAGUAUGGGAAGGCUCCGUGGGAGGGGGACCUGGUGUGGAGCUGGCGGCUGGCUUCUUUUAUUAUUCAUCUUGGGUGGGUCAUCGGCAGGCAGAAACUGGAAAUAGUCUGAAUGAGAGGGGUAGGCCUUGAGAUGUGGAGCCUUGGAGACCCGAGCAUGAGAUAAUAAUCAGAGAGGUCAGAGGGUAAGAGUCCUUACCCUGCGUGCGCAGCUCAUUAGUGGGGCCUGGUUACUGGUGAUAUUUUUCUAGUCCUGGUUUGGGUCACAGGGAGCGUCGACAAGGCGGACAGAAGUGACAGGAAGAGAACAGAUUUGCCUGGCCAUUGACGCUAGAGAAAAAGGGUAUGGUUAACGGUUUUAUUCUGCUAAACCCAACUGCCUUGAUUGCCCCCUUGACCUCUGGGUGACCUUUGACUCCAACGACUUGCUUCUCUUGGUUGCCUUGAAUACAUUUCCUAGUUCAUGAGAUGGCUGUCUGUUUCACAUUAUCAUAAUCUUUCAAUCACUGCACCUGAUGUCAGCUUUACCUAAUACCGGCCCAUCACAGAUUUGUGUAAAGGAAGUCAGGCUAAUUGCUAGGCUUCUGCCGCCUUCUGUAAGGAUAUAUGGAGCCUUUUGGCACACGCUGCCCGGCAGCGAUUGCUACAGAUCAUUGACUAGAUUUCUAUCACGUAAAAAAAUAAUGACAUAAUUCAAAUGUCAAUGCAGAAGCCGUAAGAGCCAAGCAAAAAAGAGGCAAAUCCUUUCCCCUGGUGCUCAGAAGCACCGAGGGCAGAGUGUGUGGCUGGCUGAUUUAUGGUGACUGAGGCAUGCUGGGCCGGGACGUGUUCUGGACAGGCAAAUGCAUGCGGGGACUGAGGAAAUAACCUGGACUCAAGGCCAAAGCCGCCGUGGAGUGAACGGGCGGAGCACAACCUCACGCACAGCAGCUUCCCCGGCUGGGGCCCAUGCCGCAGUCUGCAUGUUGUGCACCAGGUAAAUGUGAGUGCGAGCCUCUCUCCUGGAAAUGUAUGUUUGAGGUAGCGUGCGGGGGACCUGCGAGAUGGUUUAACGUAGUGCAAAGACAAACCAUGACUCCCGUGGUCAAGUGGCUCGGGUUCAGAUCAUGCUGCUUACUUACUAGCUCUGGGACUGCAGACAUAUUGUUUCAGUGCUUACAGCCUCAGUUUCCUCUUCUGUAAAAUGGGGAUAUCAAUAACACCUACCUCCUAGGAUUGUCUUAAGAACAUAUAUAAACAUGUAUAAUUUUUUUCUUAAUUUGAGAGAGAGAGAGAGAGAGAGAGAGAGAGAGGAGGGGUGCAAGCUGGGGACGGGGCAGGGGGAGGCAGAGAAUCCCAAGCAGGCUCCAUGCUCAGUGCGGAGUCUGAUGCAGAGCUUGAUCCCACGACCCUGAGAUCAUGACCUGAGCCGAAAUCAAGAGUUGUACCCUUAACCAAUUGAGCCACCCAGGCACCCCACGUGUCUAAUUUUAUAGAUAACUUUUUUCCUGAAAGAAUACCACAUUAGCUGUGUUCUUCCCGGUCCUGAAGUCUUACCUAGACCCGUUUUGUAGAUGAAUGUGGUCUUGCCUUCUGUGGAUCUGUUCUUUUAGUGUUAGUGCAUCUGGGACACUCUCCUUUGCCGAUACGUGUGUGUGUGUGCACGUGUGCACACAGAUGUACGCAGGUGCUUGCUGGAGUGGCAAGAGGCCAUCCGCAGGUGGCAGGACCUGAGUUUGUAACAGAAGGAAAGGAGGUGGACCAGGAGGUUGGCUCAGCCUGAGCCAAAGCUGCCAUUAGUCCCAGGGCCACCUGUUUUGACCAAGGGGGCUGGAGAAUGUAUUGGUCUUUGAAAUGGGCUGGAUCACCAUCUUGGAGAGGGCCUGGGCAGCAAAUCUGUGGUUCCCACAGAUUUGAGCUCCCUGCAGAGCCCCGCUGUGGGAGUUUGAUCUUGUUUCCUUUGAUUAAUGGCAACCCAGGGAUUACAAACUACUCUUGGCAGGGGGUGCUGGGGAGAGAUGGAGUGCUCAGGGUGGGGAGGAAGGCUGUAUCGGUGUGGUGUCUCGGUGUUUUUGAUCCCUUGGUAGGGUGGCCUGCAGCCCAUCACAGCUGCUUAUUUGCAUGUUGGAGGCUUUGGGGUGGGGGUAGGGGCAGAGAAUGUCAUCAAUAGUGUUAAUUUCAGAAAGUGUUAACAUUUACUGUGGAAGCAAAGUGACUGUUUAAACGCUGGGCUGGGCAACAGUAUCUUGGAAACAUGGUAUGAUCAUGCUUGGAGAGAGGCCCUCUGAGUGAGACUGAAUGUAAAUCCUUUCUGUCAUCACAGAGCACCUACUGUGCCCCAGGCCCUGUUCUAGGCUUCAGGAACAUUAAAAAAAGCGCAAGUCUUUGAGAAGAGUCUUUACUCUUCUGUAGUCUCACCUAAGGGGGCUGAAAGACAAAUGCAAAUCACAUUGAUACACUGUGACAAUUGCUAGAUGGGAGUUCUGCUGGAGACUUUACACAGAAGUAAAGACAUUUAACCAGGUUUAUCAAGUGCUGUAAAUCAAAUGACCAAGUAACAUUUGGGGAAAGAAAGGGUCUUACUCCAGAUGCAUUUCUGCCUUUGAUCUGUAGUAUGAGGCCAUUUGAAGUUGAAAAACCGACUUUAUACAGAAGCAGGAAUAAAUGGCCCAUUUAUUUCAAAUAUCUUGCCUUCCUGAUAUUUCUGACCUUGAACGUUUUCCUUAGUUACCUGGGAAACAUUCUUUAGGACCGAAAACAAAUAUAAACCACAUCAAUGGUAAUGACCAUGAAAAAUGAUGCAAUUUGUAUCGAGAUCCUUAACUAAUCUGUGCCGAGUACCAAUUUCUCCAGGUAAGAAAGGAGAGGUAGGCGUUUUCCUAAUUGAGUAACCAAACCUGCUGUAAUGUGUUUGCUUGGAAGUAUCCAGGGAGUUUCAAUGGCUCUUCAGACAUUUUUUUUUCCUAGAUCAGAUUCUGUGGGUUUUCAGGUCACUCUGGGUAAGCCAGCCAGGUUACAGAAUGGAGGUUCAAUGGGAAGAAAUGAAUAACAUGGCCGAGUUUGACGAUGACAGAGGAAAAAGGACACGUUCUGCAAGGGGCUAGGAGACAGGAUGGAGCACAGAGGGCUGGGAGGGAGAUGUUCCUCUGGCUGGCUUCACCCAGUUGGAAGAGGCUGGAAGAGGCUGGCCUGGGGCUCCUCAGGGCCCGGCCCUGAAUACCCUGCUGCCUGGGGCAGGCAAGUGAUGACGGCCCCCGGAGGGUGUAGGAGGGUGGGCCUCUCUGUGGAGGCAACACAGGCCUGCGGUGGGUCAGCGCCUCCAUUCUGGUUCAAGGCCAGCCUGUAGCCACUUACUGAACAUCAGCAAUAGCAGAGAGCAGACAUGGGCUCUGUUUUCUGAGAAGUGGGACUCACGUGCCUCUCUUCUGAAGACAGUGUCAAAUGACGAUUCAGUGCCUAAAAUCUGGGCUCGGGCUGCCUGGUUUUGAGUCCUGACUCCCCCACCUACUCACCGGGUGGCUUGGAAAAGUGACUUAACCUCUCUGUACCUCCAUUUUCCCCAUGGCAAGUUGUCGUAAGGCUAAAAAUGAGUUCAUGUGUGUUAAGCAUAUCGAAUGCCAUCUGGCACAUGGUAGCCACUGAGUAGAUGUUUGCUGGCAUCCUUGGCCUCAUGACUAUUAUGAUCAGAAAUGAUAGAGUAUGAAAACGGCUCAUCCUGGCUGACUUUGCUCUAGGUGAUGUUCAUGGCACAAUGAACAAUCACGUCCUGACCUGUUUCACCUCCUAGCACAUCCACGAGGCACCUUCGGUCCUUUAGGAAAGCAUCCAUUCAUCCAUCCAUCCAUCCAUCCAUCCAUUCAUCCAUCCGUCCAUUCACGUGUUUAUUACUAAAUGGCUAACUAAGCAUGAUUCUCUGCUAGGUGAGAGGCAGUGACUCUAACAGUGAAAAGAGGGCCAACUCUGGUGUUGGCGAUCUGUGUUUGUCCCUGGCCUACCCUCUACCUGCCGUGUGGCCUCAGUUUUGCUGUGAUGAUUAAAUAUCAUGUCCCAUAUCAGGUGCUUAGUGAAAGUCGGUUCCUGACUCUUCUUCUGCUUUACUGUUAAUGGAAGACAGAUGGGGGUUGGACACCGAUGUUGGGAGCCUACAGCCUGGUACUUUUGUCCACAGACAAUUUGCACGUCAGGUAGGGGGCGCCGCAAAGGGUCGGCCACUGUUCUGGGAGAAGAAAGUUGGCGGAAAUGGCGGUGGAGCAGAAGUGUUGGUGAUGUUGGGGAAGACGGGAUUGGGCGGAGCAUAGGCCCAGCGUGGAGGCCCUUGUUCUGUCAGGACUUUCUGGGGGCGGCUUUCGCAAAGGAAGGGCAGCUUCCGCAAAGGAAGGGCAGCUUCUGUGACUUGCCCCCACCACAUGUUCCUGGGUGCUGAUUUGGGGUCUGGAACUGCCUCCUGAAAUGUCUGGUCCUCAUUCUUGUGGUGAGUCCCUUCCACUGCCCCAGGGAGUAGGGCUUUUGUUUGUCUGGCUGACCGCUUUACAUCAUGGGGGUUCCAGAGGGGGAGAAGCCUAAGUGUGGGGGGAAGAUGGGGAGGUGGAACUGGCUCCUGUCGUGGUGAUGUGGCCUCAAGGUGGGCCUUUCUGAACCCACGCAUGGGAGGCUGAGCAGAUCCUUUUCUUCCGGGGACCACGGAACUCAGGUGGGUUUUUCCAGGAGUUCUGGUCAGGCCAUGAGGAGAAGGGGCAGGAAACAUGCUCAGAGGUGGGCCUGUUGGUAAAGGGCAGCAAAACAGUGCCACUGUCAUCUUUGGGGUUGGGAGCCACCUUCCACCCUGAGUUAAAUCUGUCAUGGCUCCUCCUUCUGUCUCCGCCAUACUGAGCCUUGGAACCCCGUGCCACUUCCUCCUGGUGCGUGGGGACUGUGACUCUAGCCUGACCCAAAUCAGGUGACCGUUCAGCCUUCCUGCAGGAUCUUUGUGGAAAGGAGAGAGAGUCGGGCCCUGGGCUUCCCCCAGGGAGCCUAUGUUCUAACAGCAACUACAUCGUUGGAUUUGUUGGUCGCUGUCAAGAAAAGUUAUAAAUCCACAGACGCAAACCUCAAAAAGCGGAAUCAGCCCCACAGACAGCAUGCUUACUCAGCUCCCCAGGCUCGGCACAGUGCCGCCAAAUGAAUUUUUGGGAAACCUCGCUUUCAUCAGGUCUCUGCCUGCUCCCUACGAUGGCUCUUUCCCAGCCAUCUCAUCGAAAUUCGGUGCGGCUUCUCAGGGGCUUGGGCAAUGUGGUUCUGCCUCGUCGUCAUGACUUUACUCCCCCUGACCAGUUCGAACUCUGCCGUGCCUUCUGGUCUUCCAGUGCAUUUAAAAAGGGCAUUUAAACUGUUCUGUGAGCCACGGCGAGACAUGGCUGCCCACACUGUGUGCGACGGACGCCAGAGCGUUUCCUUUCUCCUUCGUUCUUUCCUGUUUCACUUAAAAAAGUGCAGGUUAUGACCCACAGAAUUGUUUCCUGACAGACAGGGGUUGCGGCCCGCGGUUUGAAAAGCAGAACUGACAUAACACAGUAGUGAUCACAGAAGCACAGGUGAACACCAGGAAAUGGCAGCGUCCCUCUGGAACAAGCUCCUCAACUGUAUGAUCGGAUAAAAGUGAUGAGUCAAAUCUGAUUGAGACGUUGGUCAAAAAACAUUCUGGACCAGUGGCCUCCGAAACUUUUUUUGGAUGGCACCCUCCAUCGGUAAAAAAUGUCUACACGUACAGCUCCCGCAUAGUGUUUGGUUAUCAUUUUUUAACUAAUGUAUGAUGUGACCACAUAAGAUGUACACCCAAAAUAUAAAUUCUAAGAAGGUGAGGCAAAGAGGAAAAAAGCCCUAUUUUAAAAUGACAGGUAGGGCGCCUGGUGGCUCAGUCGGUUAAGCGACCGACUUCGGCUCAGGUCAUGAUCUCACGGUUCGUGAGUUCGAGCCCCACGUCCUGCUCUCCACUCCCAGCACAGAACCUGCUUCGGAUCCUCUGUCUCCCUCUCUUUCUGCCUCUCCCUGGCUUGUGCUCUCCUUCUCUUUCUGUGUCAAAAAAAAUUAAAUAAACGUUAAAAAAAAAAAAAAAGAGAGGCUAAUCAUGACGGUUUCGUUCUAUUAUCAGCAAAUAGCUGAAGGCAAGAUAUGCCCAGAGGAUGGGGUCCAUGGUUCUCAGCAGGGGCUGUCAAUCUGUUUUCAAAUUGUUUGGAUAUUUAAGAUGUUUUUCUGGUUGGCUUCUUGUCAGUUGUGGAAACCACUGCUUUGCAGCAGACCUUCUUUCCUCAACAUCGCCCUUCCUUUCCUGAAAAAACCAGAAAAGCUCCCUGGUACCUGGUUUUGCUGCUUCCAUCCACCAGAAAUCCGAAGGGAGUCAUGGGUGACUCUUCUCUUUCCUUCAUGCCACAGCCAUUCAUUUGCCGUAUUCAGGGGAUUUUUACCUCCUCACAGGGGGGCGGGUCUCCCCAUGUUCUCCUCCCAUUGCUGCAUUGCUCCCACACUGCUUCCUUCUUCCUUCCGGUUCCUCCCACGCCUGUAUACACGUGAUUCGCAUUUCCUGCGACGUCCAUGCCUGGCUGUCGCCUGCUUCAAGCCCCAGCAUAAAGGUCAGUUCCUCAGAGGGACCUUCUCCGGCCACUGCCCGGUGUACCUCCUGAGGCACCUCGGACUUUCUUUCAUGGUGCUUGUAAGAAUUGUAUUUUAUUUUAAUCAAUUUUUUUAACGUUUGUUUAUUUUUGAGGGGGGGGGGGACUGAGCANNNNNNNNNNNNNNNNNNNNNNNNNNNNNNNNNNNNNNNNNNNNNNNNNNNNNNNNNNNNNNNNNNNNNNNNNNNNNNNNNNNNNNNNNNNNNNNNNNNNNNNNNNNNNNNNNNNNNNNNNNNNNNNNNNNNNNNNNNNNNNNNNNNNNNNNNNNNNNNNNNNNNNNNNNNNNNNNNNNNNNNNNNNNNNNNNNNNNNNNNNNNNNNNNNNNNNNNNNNNNNNNNNNNNNNNNNNNNNNNNNNNNNNNNNNNNNNNNNNNNNNNNNNNNNNNNNNNNNNNNNNNNNNNNNNNNNNNNNNNNNNNNNNNNNNNNNNNNNNNNNNNNNNNNNNNNNNNNNNNNNNNNNNNNNNNNNNNNNNNNNNNNNNNNNNNNNNNNNNNNNNNNNNNNNNNNNNNNNNNNNNNNNNNNNNNNNNNNNNNNNNNNNNNNNNNNNNNNNNNNNNNNNNNNNNNCCCCCCCCCCGCCGACAGCCGAGGAAAUUGAAAGACAGAAGUGUUAAUGCCGAAAGUCACCAGCUUAAUAAAUGAGGCCCCUGGUCUCAGACCUAGGUCAUUGAGGCUACAGCGUGUGCACUUUUUACAGGCUACUCUGGAUGGCUCAUUUGUAACCCGCGUAGACUACGGGCUGACCGUAAGUGCCAUCUUCCUUGCCGAUGUCUGACCAGCCCUCUACAGCGAUUUUUCUCUUGAUCUAGCUUGGUUUGUGCCCAGGGUCUGUGUAUAACACUAUUCACCUGUUGUUCUAGACAACGCUGUCCUUUCCUCUGACAGCUCCAAGUCCCCGAAUCUUAUCCACCUAAGCUAGAUUGUAAAGGGAAAGCACUGACUCAUCCUUUUCUUGAGUCUCAUGAUAAGUAAAUAAUUAUUGAUUAGUUGAUCAUUAUUAGGAGCUUGGCAGAGAUUUCAUCCUACUCUCUGUCUUCACACAGACCCACUGCCUGGCCAAGAAGACAAUGCCUUGGAUUCAGAGGAGUUUUAACUGUUCCAAUUUAUGCUUGUUGGCCUUCUUCCUGGUGGAUCUCAGUGUAACUUCUGGCUGAGACCCAAGAAUUUCAGGGUCUUCAAUGCCAUGAGUAAUUUCAUGAGUUGCUGAUGGCUAAUUAGGGGUGAUUACAGUUAAGAGGCUUUAUUUCUUAAUAGCCCCCAGAAAGGGCUGGUGGUAACUUUUAAAAUCUUGAUUAUUUUCCCCUGCAAGUGGAAGGCUCUGAUUCGCAUCACUGUCUUUUCUUAAGUCCUUAUAAUUUAUCUCACCAUCCCCACUUCCACCCCUUUUCUGGUAAGAAAGAAAUCUGAAGGGGAAACCGAUGAUUUUGGAAAACUGGCUUUAUUAGAGCGGACCCCUGGGCAUGGCUUGAAACCUCGCUUCAUCUGUUGCCUUUCCCUGAGAAGGAGGUACAGGAAGAGGGGAGACUGGGCCGUGGUUUUUCUUCCCAAGUUCCAUUAUAUCCCAACCAAACCUCCCAUCCCAGGCUUUCUGAUGCCGUUUAUAGUUUACCUUUGAAACUGUUGGUUCAUCUGACAGUGUUAAGACAUUCUGUGUAGUAAGGGCUUCCGAGGAGAGGUGUAUUUGUAGGUGGGGGGUUCUACCCUCCUCUUUUUCCUGGGACGACACAUUGCAGGUGUCGCUUGACCUCUUCCUGCACCAAUGCCAGCAGAGCUACUUGGUGAUGAGUGUCGCUCGGGUGCCAGGCACGGGCCAAGCCCGGUGCACAUGUCCGCCACUUAAUCCCCACCACCUGUGUCAAUCCCUUAGGCAGUAUUUUUUUAAACAGUUUCAUUGAGAUGUAAUUCACAUAGCAUACACCUCACCGAUUUAACAUCUCCAAUUAAAUGAUUUUUAAUACAUUCACGGGUUGGGCAGGCAGCCAUCAGCACAGUGUAAUUUGAGACCACUUUUGUCACCCCAGGAGGAAAUCUUGCACCUCCCCUUAUCCCCUCCCAACCUUUCUGACCCUGGCAGCCGCUCAUGUAUUUUUUUGUCUCUAUAGAUUUGCUUACCCCCAACAUUUCCUGUAAAUGGAAUCGUGCAAUAUGUAGUCUCCUGUGGCUGGCUUCUUUAACUCAGGAUAAUGUUUUCAAGGUUCAUGACGAUGUAGCAUGUAUCAGUACAUCAUUUCUUUUUAUUAUUAAGCAGUAUGUUUUUUCUUUUUUUUUUUUUUAAAGUGUAUUUAUUUAUUUUGAGAGCAAGAGAGAGAAUGAGUAGGGGAGGGGCAGAGAAAGAGGGAAAGAGAGAAUCCCCCAUGCAGUCAGCACAGAGCCCAAUGCGGGGCUCGAUUCCAUGAACUGUGAGAUCACGACCUGAGCCGAAACUAAGAGUUAGACACUUAACCGACUGAACCACCCAGGCGCCCCACGAUUUUUUGUUUUAAUGUUUUAAUGUUUAUUUAUCUUUGAGUGAGAGAGACAGAGUGUGAGUGGGAGAGGGGCAGAGAGAGAGAGGGAGACACAGACUCCAAAGCAGGUUCCAGGCUCUGAGCUAUCAGCACAGAGCCUGACACGGGGCUUGAACUCACAGACCUGGCGAUCAUGACCUGAGCUCAAGUCGGACGCUUAACCGACUGAACCACCCAGGUGUCCCCUGUUAGGCGGUAUUUUUACCCCUAAAUGUACAGUUGGCGGAACCAAAACACACAGAGGCGAAGUGACUUUCCUGUGGUCAUGUAGCCUUUAAUAGAUGGAGCUAGAUUUCCAACGCAGGGUUGCCUAAUGCCGACUCUGAUAUUAGCCAGUCUGAGAUAAUCAUACUAAUAGUAAUUUAUUGAACAUCUUUUAUGGAUCAAUGCCUGUGCUGAAUGUCCCAUAAAUCUGUUACCUCAUGUUCGUGUAUACUCGGAUUUCAACUGGGAAAUGUAACCAUAACUGGACAGUGGCGUUUUUAUUUUAAUGGCUUCCAUUUGCUCGCUUCCGGUUUCAUUGGCCCCCCCUUAGACUCCAGGAUCUUCUUAAGCAAAUGAUGCUAAAAAUAGUAUUGUUGUUCCUUCCGUAGGAGUUGAACAUCACUCCCAUCUGCGGAAAACUGGUAACAUCUCAGAGGAGCCCUUGCUUCUUCCGGGACGCCCAGCAUCAUGGUUUCUUAUUUCAUGCGGUCUCUCAGGUAAGUGGAGAACCUUUUCAAAAGACAACAGGAAAACAGGAAAUUCGAUAUUUGCAUUUCCUCUACAGUCUCUAUAGUAACUAGCCUUGAGGGUCUGCACAUCAGUAAUAUUGUUGAUAUAUUAUGUUCAUGUGUAUAAUAAGUCCGCUAUUCACAAGAGCCCUCGAGGCCUAGGGAGUAGUGUGCUGUGGGAAGAGGUGCUCGGACUGAGAUCCAAGUGACUUGGGUUCAACCCGAUGUUCUGCUAGUUCCUGGGAGACCUCUGGGGUUCAGAUUCUUAUUUUUAUUUAUUUAUUUAUUUAUUUAUUUAUUUAUUUAUUUUUUUUUUUAAAUUUUUUUUUCAACGUUUAUUUAUUUUUUGGGACAGAGAGAGACAGAGCGUGAACGGGGGAGGGGCAGAGAGAGAGGGAGACACAGAAUCAGAAACAGGCUCCAGGCUCCGAGCCAUCAGCCCAGAGCCUGACGCGGGGCUCGAACUCACGGACCGCGAGAUCGUGACCUGGCUGAAGUCGGACGCUUAACCGACUGCGCCACCCAGGCACCCCUGGAUUCUUAUUUUUAAAUAAAGACGUUCCUGGAUGCGUGGAUAUUUAGCCUGGCUGCCCAAUGGAAUUACCUGAAGAACUUAAGCCAAUUUUAUCCUCUGGCUUGGACUUAAUUGAUCCAGUGUACUUAAAAAGGGACAUCUCUGGUUCCUUCUGCUCAAAACAUCUGUGACCUUCACCUGCGUGUUUUAUUUGAUCCCGAUAGACCCUUUGAAAACUUCUUCGGUCCAAAUGCUCUGUAACAACACAAUAUGCAAAAUGGUUAACGGUAGUGUUUUAUUAAGCUAAAUUUGUUUCCUAGGUUUGGAUUUGUGAUAUUUACAUAUUAUGAGAUCAGUGAGUCUGUGUUGAUAAACACCAAAAUUUGGAAUCAGGAUUUAUGGAUGAUGGCUUGUACAUCAGCCCUAGCAUCUAGCUUAUUUUGCACUUGCUUUAGCUGUGUAGCAUUAAGAAAAUCUUGGGGCGCCUUGGGGCACCUGGGUGGCUCAGUCGGUUAAGUGUCCGACUUUAGCUCAGGUCAUGAUCGCGAGGUCUGUGAGUUCAAGCCCUGUGUCAGGCUCUGUGCUGACAGCUCAGAACCUGGAGCCUACUUCAGAUUCUGUGUCUCCCUCUCUCUCUGCCCCUCCCCUGCUCACGCUCUGUCUCUCUUUCUCUCUCUGAAAACUAAAUAAACAUUAAAAAAAAUUAAGAAAAUCUUGAUCCACAAGGUAAGUAAUUGCAGUUCCUGAAGGAAGUUCAUCUUGCAAUCUCAAGAUGCUCUUUAAAUAAGUAGACUCAGAAUGUAGAAAGUGGGGAAGGAAGAAUUUUUUAUUUAAAAGUUGAAUCACUAAGGAUAUCUUGUACUUUUUUUUUCUUUUGUAACUAUACAUUAGCCCUGAAUGCUCAGAACUUACAAUAAAAAGCAAAAUGGCUUAUAAUAUGUUACUAUGGUGGUGCCACAUGUGAUUGCCCAACCAGGGCUAGAGCAUUUGCUAGGCAGAUGCUCUUAGGCCAAUGCCUGGCAUUUAAUUGAGUGUAGUGUGUGUGUGUGCGUGUGCACGCCCUAGUCUGUAGUUGCUUGUAUAAUUUUACAUGAACAGACAUGUGCAGGCCUGAAGUCCAAAGACCCGUGCAGAGCUACAGCCUUCUUCAUUAAUGUCAUUCACAAGUGUGUCACAGUCAGACCGAAGUCAGGAAAAGCUCCAUUCUGAGGUCUCCGCAAAAUCCAACUGUUAACAGGGCAGCCCAGAUCUGCUCAGGGAUAGUAUUUGAUAACUAACCUAAAUUAGCAGGUUUGCAUUUUUAAACCAUAGUUUAAAAAAUAGAUUUAAAAGAUAUUUCAAGACAUGAGCUAUGCAUCGUGUUUGUGAAAACUCCAAAAUAAUGCUGUACAACCACAGGGGAGUGAGAAGUGCACUUGGGCCACUGGGUCACUUCAGAACCACAGCAUAUUUGAGCACCAGGACCCCAAUGGGGGACAGAGAAGUGGAAGCCACAGUUGCAUAUUGAACUGGAUUGAAAAGGGCAGCAAAGGAUGACCAAAGGUGGGUUCGCCAUGUGGUACCCAAGUGGGAGCCUGGCCAGCAGCAGAAAGGCCUCUACAAGCCCUGAGGAUCCUCAAAAAUGUGGCCACCCAGGCUGCCCGAGGAAGGCCAUUGCUUGGGAGAAUUCCCCAAGUUUUUUCCUUGAUGGGAUUUUGGAAUUUUCAUUGAUGCCUCUGUGAAAACAGUUGACCUCUCCUAACCUGAUUGGUGGUUGGAAGCCAUCUCCCUUCGAGGGGAGGCUCACCUCCAGGCUGGGCGUUAUUUCAGAGAAAUUGCCCAUGGUUGGAAAUGAGCAGGGUGGGAGUAAUUGAAAGCUAGAUGUGGCCUUGCUACCCUUGGGAUUGAACUCUGGAAGUCUUGACAGGUCUCCAGGAUUAGGGUCCUUCUGAAAGGGUUGUUUAUUUUAAUUUAAUUUAAUUUAAUUUAAUUUAAUUUAAUUUAUUUAUAAGGUUUUUUUUAAUGUUUAUUUUAUUCUCUAGAGAGAGAGACAGACAGAGUGUAAGCAGGGUAGGGGCAGAAAGUGAGGGAGACAGAGUCUGAGGCAGGCUCCAGGCUCUGAGCUGUUAGUACAGAGCCCGAUGUGGGGCUCCAACUCAUGAACCGUGAGAUCAUGACCUGAGCUGAAGUCGAAAGCUUAACCCACCGAGGCAACCAGGCGCCCCUGAAGUGGCUGUUUAAACAGGCCUACUGAGCAGGACGUUUCUUCAAGAGUUCUGCUGAAUGGAGUUGGGGAGAGAAAAUGUGGGCUCUGAGGAUGGGUGAUUCUUUGCAAGAGCUCAGCUGCAGAUUCCAUGAAGUCUCCUUCUUCAUAAGCCAGGUUUUGCGUUAAAACUCAUAAACCAUUUUGCAUUCUGUUUCAAGGGCCUUAUAAAUCUAUUUUAAUCUGAAAAAAAACUAGGAUGACUUUUGUUUUAAUGCUUUAGAAAAUGUUCUGGGGAAAGGGCUAUGUUUACUAAGAGCUAGAAGUCUUUGAUAACAUUAGUAGAUCACACACGCACACCCAAAUUUUAAGGUUUUUUAAAAAAAAUAUUUAUAAAGGCAACCAAGUGCAUAAAGAUCAAUUGGAAAAGCUGGAAGAUUUCUCUACCUAUAGGGCAACAGGUCCAGAUUAGAAGUCAGCUGCCAAGAAAAUCCCUGAGAGGAAAAAACAUUGAAGGGGAUUCACAAUUCUGAUACGCAGAGAUUUAGUUUAAAAAUCCCUCCCCAGUUUUUGCCAAGCCACAGAGAAGCAGAAAGCCAGCUUCCCCCUCAUUGAAAAAGACCAAAAAGCCUGAAGUAUUAGCAUAGCAAGAGUAUCUCUGCCUUGCUCAAUGUCUGCAGUAAUAAAAAGAAUCACUGUUAAGCCCCACAGCAGAAAAAACACGAAAGUUUUAACUCUUGAUGGAGCUGGUUAGCGAGUUGUCUUUGAACGUUGGACAAGCCUGGAGGCCACGCAACAUUCAGGGCAAGGGAAAAAUCCAUUUGGACCAAAGGAUUAGUCAAGGCUACAUUAGGAAGUCUUUGUCCUGUUACAGGUUAACAGAGGAAAAGACACUAAGUGAUACCAAAGUGUAUAUAUUUCUUAAAGUCUUGCUCCAAAUGGUACACUUUUUUUUUUUUUAAAUGACAGUUACAGCCUGUGUGUUUGUUCAGUGAUUGAGUGGAAGCAAACCCAGUUUUCUGCUAGAAUUAGUAUAACAGGUGGUGAUGGCUACGUAUCAUGGCCAGCCAACAAAAUCUAUUUAGAGCCCGUCUGCAUGGUCGGGGGCUCAUUUUGUACCUCGUACUAUGCCUCAGUAUAGUUGACAGUGUUUAUGUUUGAAAGGAAAACACAAUGGUUGAAAAUGCCAGACAAGUGGUUAAAUUGGCAGAAAAUAAAGCUGACUAGGUGAUCCUUAUUUUUGAAGAGUAGGGUUUGAAGAAAUACAGACGUAAUUAGAUUACAGAGGUAGAUGGUGAUUUUUAUAGGUCUUGUGAAGUGGAGUUCUGGAUCAUUUUAAGGGGUUUACAGGUUGGUGGCCCUAGGUCAAGUGUCUGGUUUUAGUCUUCUGAAACGUAAGGCUUUUCUUUGCCUUCAUACACACUUCAGUACAGUAAUAUUACUGUAAUGCCUGUCAGCUGCUUCACUCAGAAAUACAGCCAGAAGGGACUGAUGAAAUGAGAAAGAGAGAGGUGGCUGUUCUUGGGGCAACUGAAAAAGAUCCCGAAUACAGAAAGGAAAAAAGAAGCGUGUUGAGAAGAUGUGUCUGUGUGUGUAAGAAAGAGAAUGACCAAAAUAGUGAUAUUUGAGAUAUGAUCCAUCAGUGAAAACGGAGACUCCCCUCAGGGGUGGAGGACUAUGUGGUCAUUGGGAAGGAUCAUGGGCUCAAUCAGUGUCCCUGUGCCAGUGACUAAGAAAUGCGGUGGAGGAGGAGAAAAUAAGGGAAGGAAAAAGGGGGAAAGGUGGGGGAGGGGGAGGAGGAGGAUAGAGGAAGGAGGGAGGAAAGAGAGGAGGAGGGGUCAGGUUUGGAUUAUUAGUAUUAAACUUAAUUGUGUUUGGGGAACCUGGGUGGCUCAGUUGGUUAAGCGUCCGACUUCGGCUAGGGUCAUGAUCUCACAGCUCGUGAGUUCGAGCCCAGUGUUGGGCUCUGUGCUGCCAGCUCGGAGCCUGGAGCCUGCUUCCGAUUCUGUGUCUCCCUCUCUCUCUGCCCCCUACCCAACUCAUGCUCGCUCUCUCUCUCUCAAAAAUAAAUAAACAUAAAAAAAAAAUUAAAAAAAAAAAACCCAUCAUGUUAAUAGAGCAGGACAGACUUUGUGUAGCCCGCAUCUAAACCACUACCCAGUUAAUACUUAAUGAACAUUUGUUGAAUAUUGAAUGAAUGAGUUGAUAAUGAUCUUUUGGGUAAAAGAAAGAAAGUAGAAAGUUUUUCUUUCCUGAUGAGGAUUGUUAGUUAAUUACAAAAGCAGGUUAAAGCAGCAAAUCAUACAAAUGAUACACACACACCUUUAACAGUUUAUUUUUAACUUAAAACACAUGUACAUUCACUCACUAUUUUUUGAUACGGGGCCAAGGACUUUUCUUUGAGCAUGAACCCCUGAUUGUCCUUCUUGCACAAACCACACCCAUAAACAUUAUCUAAGGUUUCCAUUUGGGUUUCUUUAACGUGGAGUGAGAAUUUAAAGACAUUUGCAAAGCAAUCUGAGUUCAGAUGAUUCUAGAUUUUAUUAUUUUUGCCCCUAAUCAUUUACAGUUGUCUCAUCCACACCUAAUUUGCCAACAGUCUUUUUUUUUUUUCUUGGCUACUUGCCUUUACUGAGUCUUUCCAAAGCAUUCAGCUUCAUUUUCGUAGAAACAACUAACAACGACUCCUUUUUGCGCUCUAUGUCAUGGGUUUGUGUACUAUUCGGAUAUUUUCAUGUGAUUCCAAAGCAACGGGCACACACAGGUUUGGGAACACGGUUGACCCUGUAUGAAGACAACUCCUCUGGUGGGAGCAGAACAGUACAAGUAUGCCGGGGAAGAGCCUGCUGGAAUCUUUUAGGGGAAGCCUGGUAGGAGAGCCAUCUGAAUGGUAGGCAGCGAGGCUAAGAGGAAAUAAAAUCGUUUUUUGGAGGACUGCCCUGGCAAACCCCUACCUAUAAAAUGAUGGCAAGCAUUCAGACAGUAUUGAUUUUUCUUUAUGCCUGGCACAGCCCUGCACCUGGAGCAUGUCCUCAUCACUCAGUACUUGACUGUGGGAUUUACUAGAACAUUCUGUACCCAAAAGCAUCCAGUGGAGUCAAGGUGUGAUCACUGGGCUGCCAGCUACCCAUUCCUUAUGGACCCAAGUGGAUUUAUAGGCUUCAGGUUAACAUUGACCCCCACCCCUGCCGGGGACUGGAACCCGUAACUGCCAACUUGUGGAAAUCUUCCUAAUUUAGGAUUGUCUUCCUUUUUCCUGUUCUUUUAUUUUCCCAACAGAGAAUUCUGAGAUGCACUUAGAAAACACUUCAUUGCUGGAGUGUUAUGACAGGAGCUCUUUGCACCUCUUUUGUGAGCCAUCAUUCUUCCCUCCCUCUGGUUCUUCUUUCUCUCUCACUUCAUUCCAUCCUCCCAAUUCUUUCAUUCACUCGCUAUUCAUUGGUCCUGAGGUGGGACCAGAGCUCUGCUGAUUGUCUACUAGCUGCAAAGAUGCAUCAGCAACCAUUUCCUCGAGAAAUCUGCCAUUGAGGAGGGGAAGUUACCAAAGGAUGAUGGGUAAAGAGCUGUGCGGUGACAGACACCUCACUUUGCCAGAGGCCCUGGUCCAGAGAACACAAAUGGCCGCAAGAGUUGAGAACCUGGAAAUCAGCAAUAAAAACCAAUAUGCAUAGAAUAGGUGUCUGUAAAUCCAUGCUCUAAAUUGGAAACAUUCACCCCACGAAAGGUAGGCAGGCCCUUGCGCCGAGCCUGUCGGUCUUACUUUGGGUUCAGCUUGGUUCUGAGGCCGAGGCCUACCUAAAGGAAGCCGAGUUGAGAGGGCACAGGCUUGUCCACGGCACAGCAAGCGAUGGCUGAUGGCCGGCGGGAGACAGCGAAGGGCAGGCUGGGGGUUCGGAGAAUCCCAGGCGUCUGGGCCUUUCAACCUCCUCAGCUCCAAGGCCACCACCUUGUGCUCCACAGAUGGCUUGAUAAUCAUGCUGGCGAUUCUGAGCCAUCUAAAAAAGGUUACUUACGCUCAGUAUACUCCGUAUAAGAAAUCAGGAAAAUAAAUAGAGUGCAUUUUUGUAAGUUUGGGAUUGAAAUGGUCGGCUUCCAUUAUUUUAAACCUUAGAAUGUUCUCUUGUGAGGCUGGAUAAACCAGGUUUUAUCACAUGUACUUACUUUCUGAUUAUUUUUGCAAGCAUGACAGAAAGUGAAACAGAUGUGUGAAGCCACAGCCUCGUAAGAAAGGGGAAGAAAAUUGAUGUGAUGAAAUGCAAAUGCUUGGUUUAAAGGUGUGUUGUGUUAAUGAGGCCCCAGAGCACGGUGGUUAAGGGUCCAGGCCAAGGGUCUGACUGCUGGCUUUGAAAUCAGCCUUUGCCACUUAGGUGGGUGUGCCCUUCGAUAAAUGACUUCGCCUCUCUGUGCCUCAAUUUCCUCACCUGCAGAGUGAAUAUAACGAAAGCGUCUGGCGGGAUGGUUGUGGAGAUUCAAUGAAAUAAUACUCGUAAGCGUUGAGCUCAUGGGUAGCCAUCAAGUCUUCAUGGUCGAAUGUCAUUUGUCACCUGUCUCCCUCUCUUGCUGCCUUUACUCUUAACUGCUGUCAGAGAAAGGCGGAGGGUUGAGCUGGUGAAAUGCAUGCUUAGCAAAACUUUUUCAGCUCCAGAGAACAGUAGGUAGAGAUUUCACUUCAGUGCUAAGAUUUUGGCUCUCUUUUGCUAAGGUCAGUAUAAUUUUAUUAGUUUCCCAACUGCUCCCCAAAUAUCUCUUGGGUUGUAUUAACUGAAGAAGAAAAGAGGUAAGGUGGGUUCCCCCCCCCCCCCCCCGUUUUCCUUGUUUUGUUACUUGAUAUGCUCAAGUGGUGUUGAGUUCAUUGAGGUAAUCCUAGGAACACAGUGGCUGUGACAUGAUCCAUCCUCCCUGGAGUUGAGGAUGUUGAUGCGGAGGGUGGGGAGCGGUUGGCCAAGGAAAAUCCAGAAGCCCAGAGCAGAGCCCUGGUUCCAUGAUGUAAAUCUUGUACUGAAUUUCAAUGAGUAUUAUUUUCUACAGGAGGAAAUGAAAUGAUGGAGUGUUUAAAAUCUACAACGACACUGGGUAGAUGGCAUUUUUUUUUCCCCCUGUGUGCUUUGGUGUGCAAGGUUGGGUUGUUUCUACUGCAAGGUGAAUCACAAAGUCUUGGUAGGAAUGUGGCUUCCCCCGCCGCUCGGAGGGGAGUGUAAGAUUUGUUUGCCAAAGGCCCUGGUAGCCUUCAAUCUGUCAAAACGUUGCAAGCGUGGAGCAGUCUGCCAAAGCAAACUAUCAAAGUGAAAUAACACACGAGUUGCACACACACAGACAUACACAUGCUGUCCCAUUCCCCAGACGUUGAUUUUGAAUUGGGUCAGGAAGAACAAGGAUUUGGGCUAGAUCGUUGGUGUUUUGAAGCGGUGUGGGCACAGCUAUGGACUACCAAUUAGAUAGGUAUGUGUGAGCAGGGUGGGGUAUCCUAAAACAGAGCCUACCGAGCAUGGGUGGGAAACUUCCAGCCCUUGGCAGAGUUUCAUCUGGCCUCUGGGGUAAUAUAUUGCUCUGGCUGCUGUUAUUACAGCCCAAAGAAUAAUUUCCCCUCUGGGGGAAUUUAUUCUAUUCCAUUCAGAGCAGAGCCCAUUUAAUAACUAAGAUUUUAUUCCAGAAUGAAUUUUAUUGGGUACCCCUAUGUAUUUAACUUCACGAGGACCCAGCUCAAUGAAGAAAAGAAGUAUUUGAACAUCUAAAUAUAAUUUGAGUUGCAUUUUUACACCAAGAGGCACUGGCAAACAUUUUGCUGCCAUACCUCGUGUCGAUCCUAGGAGAGUAAAUUUGGGGGGCAUCACGCGGAAAUUCAAAAGCACGGCUGAUUUUUAUAGAGCCUUCAUAGAAUAACUUCUAAAACCUUCCAAAGUGACUUUGGGCAUUUUUGAAUAUGUUAAUUCACACUAUUUCCAUCUAUCUUGAGAUUUCAUAGGUUGUCAAGAUGAUGUGACAUCAUUCGUCAAUUCGCUAAAUUAAGCUUUUUCUGUAUAGAAGACACUCUGCUAGAUGCCGGGGAAUAAAGGAGUGACAAAAUCAACUGCCUGAUCUCACGGAGCCUCUGUUCUAGUGGGUGGAGAGGGAGAUUUCAAGGAAUGAAGAUGCAGUCUGUGCGAUAGUCAGUGCUGUGGAGAAAAAUAAGGUUCUUCCGGACAGGCUGGGAGGGCGUUACGGAGAAGGGACAGCUUUGGGCAGACACCUGAAAGAGGGGAGGGAACGAGCUGUAGAAGUAUCUGGGAGUAGAGUUGACCAGGCAUCUUGGAAUGACCCAGAAUCUUCCCUCCUCCAAGUCGGGGAAGGGCAGCCUGGGAUGAGUAGUUAUGCAGAAGGGCUCCCGACUGCAUCGCAAAUAUGUGGCUUGGGCUGAGGUGUAACACAUUUAUGGAGCUGUUGUUUGUUUUUGGUUUUGUUUUUAACAAAACCACGCCCAUCUGGUUUUCUUUUUUAAACGAGUAAACGGUGCCAGAACAUGUUACUACGAUUCAGGGUUGUAGGUGCGAGUUCAUGACAGGCAGUGGCUCAUUUGAGGUAGACAGGGCAGGUCAUAUUAUUCCCAUUUUCCCAAUGAGGAAACAGGUAUGGGGAUGAUUUGGCCAAGGUUGUGUAACUAAGGAGCGGGGACUCCCUCGUCGUGAGGCGAGCGUUCCUUGGUUUGGAGGACAAACUGGAUCCGCUAAGGCUGUAGCUAGAAAAUACCUGUUCUCUUCCUUCCAGCAUGUUCACACCCAUUUUUUUAGAUGCCCCUGCCUUGUGGCUGGAGGACCUCUUGGGCAGUUUUCUAGUUGGGUGCAGGUUAAUGAGCAGUGUCAUUUUCAAGUAUCAAAAAGCCCAGAAAAGUUGUGUGUAUGUGUCAGAGGGGAUGGCUUCAUUGGUCGAGUGGCCGUUCUUUUAGAAGCUUUAGCUCUGGUUUUCCUUCAGUAGUUUUUGGUAUGAAUCUACGACGUGAGUAACUUCACCACCUAGACCUGCACCACCAGCUCCCCGUGUGCCUGCUGCACAGCACAGAUCCGUGUACCUGUGCGUUGGCUAGUGCAGAAAUAGAACAUUUCCAUCAUUGUAGAAAAUUCCGUUGGACAGCCCUGGCCUAGAUCCUCAAGCAUGUCGUAAACCAACUCUUUGAUUCUUUUCGCGACUGAUCUCAUACCCUAUUUUUCUGGAUAGACACCCUGCUUGAAAAGAUUUUGUAUAUAGAUAUGCUACGUUAUAAAGGAAGUCUAGUCAGCUUGAAGAAUUUCAGUCUCUCAGUGAUUGGUAGUAUCUUUCCUCCCGCAGAGUCUCUCCUCUCCUCGGACUGGGAGGGGCCUCAGACACCUGUAGCAGGAAGAGGGGGAGUGGCUGGUUUCUUCACACCACACGCCCAGUUCUCUUCCCAGCCCCUCCCUCUGCCAUUGUUAGCGGCUCCUGGGUGGAGCCAGGGAGACGUAGGGGGCAAAGGUUUUCCAUGGGCGUGGUGCCCUUGGUGAUCUGGUGUCGCUGCCCUCAGGUCGGAUCUCAGGGCUGGUCCUUUGGAGGACUUCGUCCUCACUUGGGGGUCGCCUGCUGCACAUCCCCUUAUGACCCUCCUCCUAGCUCCUGUACUCCACAGGUACCCGCCACACAUCAUCGCCUAACCCGGCAAGCAGCCUUCGAUGAGGUCCUUUCUAGGCAACCUAAGCCCAGCCUUCCACCGUGCCUGUAUACAGUUGAUGGGGAAAAGCCCGCAUCUUCUGGCCCUGCUUGCUGUAGAAAUACGGGCUGUUCCCCUUCCAGCCCACUCUGUCCACUCUGCCCUCCUAGACACCCCAGCUAGGUUUUGGGGGAGAAUCUGGCACCAGUCCUUAUAACCUGAACUUGGGGUCUCAGGUAAAGCUCUCUAAAUGGUAGUCCUCCUUGUUUGGCUUGGGAGAGAGCCCCAGGUUUUUCUCUCCUACAGGAGGAGAGUAGGGGGCUGUGCUCAGCACUUCUGUGUAAAUAUUCGAAGAAAUCCACGCAGGGCAAACUUGUCUCAGUCUUCAGUUGCUCCCUGUACAGGUGGAGGUGGUGAGGGGCUACAACGGGGAACAGGGGCGGGGCAGAGGGGACACUUCCUUUUCUGGUCCCGAAUAGACGAUGCAGCCCCUCUUUUUUGAAAUGUGUGCGUACAUAUGUAAUAAAUGCUCUUGGCCCUCAGCUCUGGGGCCUUGGCUGCAACUCUGAGACAACAAUGACAAGGAUGUAUCUGACACCUCGUUCCGUAUCCCUUCGCCCGGCUUCCCGUCCCAUUGCUGUCUCUGGCCGGUCUGUCCACAGGCAUUCUGGGUGGUCUGCUAGGGUCUGGCUGAUUUCAUACAAAGAGGGGCUUAGGGUAGAACUGAAGAUACUUAGAGACGGUGGGGAGCUUUCUCUUCUCUAACUCCACCAGCCCUAAUCUCCACGUCCCGAGUGGUUCUUGAUGUCCGCAUCAGUGACUCCACACGGUGAGUUUCGCUCGGACUGGGGGCAGUGUUUCACAUCUCACAGUUGUGUUGGAAGCCUCAAAAAGGUUGAGAACCACUGGGUCACUUAACUGUCCUCGGGGUUAAAGCUUAAAAAAGGAUUCAGAAGACAGCUAAGUAGGACAAGGGGCCUUUUUACAGGGAUGUUCAAAGCAAGGCCAUGGCUGAUUCCAAGUCAAGGGACUUUGGGGAUUUAAAUGAACUGACAGUGCUUGUGUCUCCUGUGAUUAACUCGCUGUGUGGGCGCUUUCACCUCUGUCGUCUUCCGUGAUCCGUACAGAAGGUGAGAAUGUGGGGAGUCAGCGACAUCGGCUUGCCCGGAAUCCCCCAGAUGGGGAUGGUGGGGCUGGGAUUCCAGCCUCAAUGUGUUUGAAUCCAAAGCGUCAUCUCUCCUAGCACACCAUACUGUCUCAGGGCCAGCUGGCUCCUGUUCAUACCUUCCCUUUAUUUGAUGACAAGUCCUAAUCGGGGCUGGUGACAGUCAGGCUUAACGCAGCUAAUCCCGCCCAUGGAGAACAUAUGUGACACGAAAGGGCCAAGGACGAGCAGAGGAAAGGCUCCCAGGGAAGCAGGGCGUGGUGGAGAGGAGCUUCCCUGGCCAGGCUCAGAGCCCCAGCCUGACCUCACCAGCUCCAGUAGGACCACGCACGCACUAGCACUUUCUCUGUGUCCGUCGCCCCAUCUUCCACAGGAGGAGACUGAGGCUCAGGAGGUUACAUACCCUGACCCAGAAACCCUGCUGGUAAGUGGUAGAGGGUUUGAUCCCAGAUCUGCCCCGUGCCUUGGCCGAGCCCACAGCCCCGUGCUGCCUCCCCUCCCACGAGGCUGCUGGCCCUGUGCACCUUCACUGGGUCACGUCCCCGGGGCCCGGCUUGGACUGUUCUCUCCCUUCCAGCGAUGGGGCAGAGCUGCUGCCUUCGGCUGGACGCUGCUUCCUGGAACAUGCUCACAGCCCUGCCUGUUGCUGUUCUUCCUUCUCAGUGUCCUGGGUUCCCUCCUGCUGCUUGGAUUCCAGCUCGUCUGCCCACAGCCCUCCACUGAACACAGA
rnacentral:lncRNA from 1 species